UUGACCUCGGAUCAGGUAGGGAUACCCGCUGAACUUAAGCAUAUCAAUAAGCGGAGGAAAAGAAACCAACCGGGAUUGCCUCAGUAACGGCGAGUGAAGCGGCAAGAGCUCAAAUUUGAAAGCUGGCCCCUCCGGGGUCCGCAUUGUAAUUUGCAGAGGAUGCUUCGGGUGCAGCCCCCGUCUAAGUGCCCUGGA
rnacentral:rRNA from 1 species